AUACGGAGGGUGCAAGCGUUAUCCGGAUUCAUUGGGUUUAAAGGGUGCGCAGGCGGACUUUUAAGUCAGUGGUGAAAUCCCGGGGCUCAACCCCGGAACUGCGAUUGAUACUGGAAGUCUUGAGUUUGGUUGAAGUGGGCGGAAUGUAGCAUGUAGCGGUGAAAUGCUUAGAUAUGCUACAGAACACCGAUCGCGAAGGCAGCUCACUAAACCAACACUGACGCUCAGGCACGAAAGCGUGGGGAGCGAACAGGAUUAGAUACCCUAGUAGUCC
rnacentral:rRNA from 1 species